CUCUUGAGAGCGGCGGACGGGUGAGUAAAGCCUAGGAAUCUGCCUGGUAGUGGGGGAUAACGUUCGGAAACGGACGCUAAUACCGCAUACGUCCUACGGGAGAAAGCAGGGGACCUUCGGGCCUUGCGCUAUCAGAUGAGCCUAGGUCGGAUUAGCUAGUUGGUGAGGUAAUGGCUCACCAAGGCGACGAUCCGUAACUGGUCUGAGAGGAUGAUCAGUCACACUGGAACUGAGACACGGUCCAGACUCCUACGGGAGGCAGCAGUGGGGAAUAUUGGACAAUGGGCGAAAGCCUGAUCCAGCCAUGCCGCGUGUGUGAAGAAGGUCUUCGGAUUGUAAAGCACUUUAAGUUGGGAGGAAGGGCAUUAACCUAAUACGUUAGUGUUUUGACGUUACCGACAGAAUAAGCACCGGCUAACUCUGUGCCAGCAGCCGCGGUAAUACAGAGGGUGCAAGCGUUAAUCGGAAUUACUGGGCGUAAAGCGCGCGUAGGUGGUUUGUUAAGUUGGAUGUGAAAUCCCCGGGCUCAACCUGGGAACUGCAUUCAAAACUGACUGACUAGAGUAUGGUAGAGGGUGGUGGAAUUUCCUGUGUAGCGGUGAAAUGCGUAGAUAUAGGAAGGAACACCAGUGGCGAAGGCGACCACCUGGACUAAUACUGACACUGAGGUGCGAAAGCGU
rnacentral:rRNA from 1 species